GAUGAACGCUAGCGACAGGCUUAACACAUGCAAGUCGAGGGGCAGCACGGGAGUAGCAAUACAACUGGUGGCGACCGGCGCACGGGUGAGUAACGCGUAUGCAACCUACCUAUCAGGGGGGAAUAACCCGGCGAAAGUCGGACUAAUACCGCAUAAAACAGGGGCACCGCAUGGUGAUAUUUGUUAAAGAAAUUCGCUGAUAGAUGGCCAUGCGUUCCAUUAGGUAGUUGGUGAGGUAACGGCUCACCAAGCCGACGAUGGAUAGGGGAACUGAGAGGUUGGUCCCCCACACUGGUACUGAGACACGGACCAGACUCCUACGGGAGGCAGCAGUGAGGAAUAUUGGUCAAUGGGCGGGAGCCUGAACCAGCCAAGUCGCGUGAAGGAAGAAGGAUCUAUGGUUCGUAAACUUCUUUUGCAGGGGAAUAAAGUGCAGGACGUGUCCUGUUUUGUAUGUACCCUGAGAAUAAGGAUCGGCUAACUCCGUGCCAGCAGCCGCGGUAAAAC
rnacentral:rRNA from 1 species